rnacentral:rRNA from 1 species
AACGAACGCUGGCGGCAGGCUUAACACAUGCAAGUCGAGCGCCCCGCAAGGGGAGCGGCAGACGGGUGAGUAACGCGUGGGAAUCUACCCAUCUCUACGGAAUAACGCAUGGAAACGUGUGCUAAUACCGUAUACGUCCUUCGGGAGAAAGAUUUAUCGGAGAUGGAUGAGCCCGCGUUGGAUUAGCUAGUUGGUGGGGUAAAGGCCUACCAAGGCGACGAUCCAUAGCUGGUCUGAGAGGAUGAUCAGCCACACCGGGACUGAGACACGGCCCAGACUCCUACGGGAGGCAGCAGUGGGCAAUAUUGGACAAUGGGCGCAAGCCUGAUCCAGCCAUGCCGCGUGAGUGAUGAAGGCCCUAGGGUUGUAAAGCUCUUUCACCGGUGAAGAUAAUGACGGUAACCGGAGAAGAAGCCCCGGCUAACUUCGUGCCAGCCGCCGCAGUAAGAC